CCAAACACAGAGGAGAAAUGUUGACAUUGAGGUGAUGGGUCAGUUUAAUCGAAACACAGGCGAUGAAGCCAGCUGUUCCACCCUGCCCAACACGGGUUGUAGUAACGCUAUAUACAACCUCCGUCGCAAUUUUGGUUGCAAAAGACGAGGAUUGGGACAGGGUUAUAGUUCGAGUUCCGCAUUGAAGAACAACAGCCGGGAAAGUCCAACGUUUAGUAAAGAACUGGUUCUCCUUCCCGAUAAUACAUUAUCACAUGUCCCAAGACGCGGCAUGAAAGCUAUGCUUUUUGAACACGGGCACGUGGUUUCAGCACUGGAAUUUAACGUCAGCUGGGAUGAGCAGGCAGUAUUCCAAUCAAUCAAGAACGCAUUCUCUGAAAAACUGAGUUCCUGCAGAAUUGAAAUUCUACUAGGAUGCCAUAAUAAACUCGUGAAACCAUCUUUAACACCUGGGCAAAAACUAAAUGGACACAUGCUUAAAAAGAUCUUUACCCAAAGGUCAAUUUAUGUCCGACCUGACAGGGUUCUUUUAGAACUUGGAGGAAAACGGGUAAGUAUUGGAUUUAUCUAAAUAAAUAGUUAAUCUCACUUUCAACCAAAGAGGUCUUUAGACAU